AUGCAGCUUGUUGUAGAAGGUGUGGUGCCAGAGCUUCUCCAUGUCGUCCCAGUUGGUGAUGAUGCCAUGCUCGAGGAUGCCGCACCUGCCGUGCUGUCCGUCCACACCUCUGUGCACACCACUGGCAUUGUCAUGGACUCUGGAGAUGGGGACACCCACACAGUGCCCAUCUGUGAGGGCUACGCCCUCCCCCGGGCCAUCCUGCGUCUGGACCUGGCUGGCUGGGACCUGACUGACUACCUCAUGAAGGUCCUCACUGAGCGCAGCUACAGCUUCACUAGCACCAUUGAGUGGGAUACCGUGCGUGACAUCAAGGAAAAGCUGUGCUAUGUCACCUGGACUUCGAGCAGGAGAUGGCCACUGCCGUAUCCUCCUUCUCCCUGGAGAAGACCUUUGAGCUGCCCGACGGCCAGGUCAUCACCAUCGGCAACGAGUGGUCCCGGUGUCCAGAGGCACUGCCAACCUUCCUUCCGGGGCAUGGAAUCUUGCUGCAUCCACAAGACUGCCUUCAGCUCCAUCAUGAAGUGUGACGUGGACAUCCACAAAGACCUGCACACGAACACGGUACUGUCCGGCGGCACCACCAUGUACCCAGGCAUUGCCGACAGGAUGCAGAAGGAGAUCACCGCCCUGGUGCCCAGCACCAUGAAGAUCAAGGUCAUUGUUCCCCCAGAGCGCAAGUACUCGGUGUGGAUGGGCAGCUCCAUCCUGGCCUCACUGUCCACCUUCCAGCGGAUGUGGAUUAGCAAGCAGGAAUAUGACAAGUCGGGCCCCUCUAGCGUCUACCCCAAAUGCUUCUAAAUGGACUGUGAGCAGAUGCAUACCAUUUGCUGCAUGGGUUAAUUCAGAAGUAUAAAUUUGCUCCUGGCAAAUGAAUACACCUCAUGCUAGCCUCACAAAACUGAAAUAAGCCUUCAAAAAUACAUUAUCCUUGAAGCUUGUAUCUGAUAUCAAUGCUGAUUGUAGAACUUGUUGACUUUGACCUUGUGUUGAAGCUAACUGUUCCCCUUGGUAUUUGUUUAGUACUCUGUAUGCAUCUUCGAUUUUGACCCUUAGUGCAUGAGGCUUGGUCACUUUGUGGCUGAGGUGAGAACAUGCUUGUGGCAGUCAAGUCUGUGCCUUGGUGGGUCUGCGUGGCCAGGAGUCUCUGAUCUGUGCUGGGUAUUCAUGUGUCAGCGCUGAGUGUUCUGGGAGUUCUCUAGAGGCUGGCAAGGGCUCCUGAACCAGUUGUUUCUGUCCUACCGGUUUGUCACGGUGGGAAAGUCCAAGCCAUAAGACCCAGUUUCCUUUCUUAGCUAAUAUUUUCCUGCCAGAACACCAUGGGCUGUUACUUGCCUUGAGUUGGAAGUGGUUUGCAUUUACACCUGUAAAUGUAUUCAUCCUUUAAAUCUCUGUAAG